GACGAACGCUGGAGGCGUGCUUAACACAUGCAAGUCGAACGAUGAAAUGGAGCUUGCUCCAUGGAUUAGUGGCGAACGGGUGAGUAACACGUGAAUAACCUGCCCUUAAUUUUGGAAUAACCCAGGGAAACCUGGGCUAAUACCGGAUAAGUAAACCUGUGGCAUCACAUGGUUUUGGAAAGUUUUUCGAUUAAGGAUGGAUCCGCGGCCUAUCAGCUUGUUGGUGAGGUAAUGGCUCACCAAGGCGACGACGGGUAGCCGGCCUGAGAGGGUGAACGGCCACACUGGGACUGAGACACGGCGCAGACUCGUACGGGAGGCAGCAGUGGGGAAUAUUGCGCAAUGGAAGAAAGGCUGACGCAGCGACGCCUCGUGAGGGACGAAGGUCUUCGGAUUGUAAACCUCUUUCAGCAGGGACGAAGCGAAAGUGACGGUACCUGCAGAAGAAGCACCGGCUAACUAUGUGCCAGCAGCCGCGGUAA
rnacentral:rRNA from 1 species